rnacentral:lncRNA from 10 species
CGCGAGGGAGCCGCCGGCCGCACGAUCCGCCCCGGCGCGGCCGCCUCGCCAAACAGGUUUACCCGACGCGGCCGGGGCGGCGGGCGGAGGCGGCGGCGGGAGCGGGAGCGGGAGGGGCGGGGGAGGAAGGAGGAGGGAGGGGGAGGGGAGGCGAGGCCGGCGGCGGGAGCGCGCUCGCGGGGGGAGCGGGGCUGGGCGCGCGGGCGGGGUCCGCGGCGGCGGCGGCGGCGGCGCCGGGUCUGGCGGGGCCUGGGGCGGGGACCCGGGGAGGGGCCCGGAGACCUCGCCGGGCGGUGGGAACCGCGGGCGGGAGCGGGGACGAGGGCCGAGGGCGGCGCGGCCCGUGUGGCGCGGGGGCGGGCGCGGCCCCGGGGACCCUUCACUGCCACCCAGAGAAGCCGCGUCUUCCCGACGGGGAGGAGCCGGGCCCCCCGGCUGUGCCGCCGGAGCCGGAGGGGAGGCCACGCGCCCCCGCUUUCCCCGCCGCCCCCCGGUGGGGGGCGCAGAACCCUCCCACCCUCAGCCCCUCGGCCCCCAGCCUGGCUCUUUAAGUUACUACAGAAACACGGAGGUCGGGAAGCUCCCUCCCAGCCCGGAGCUUGAACUUGAACGCGGCCGGCCGCUCGCGCAGGACCACACCGCCACCUCCCGGCGCGGCCCCAGAACCCAGAUAAUCCGUUUAAAGCACUGAGAAAAUCUAAGAAGUUUUUAGUAAACUGUAGCUGGUAUCAGGGAUCAGAUCAGCGGACACGCCCAUUCCAGCAGUCAGGGGCCUGCUCGGACCGUCGUGCACCUCCGAGCGUUUCUGUCCGGUCCCUCUGGGUCCGUCUGGUUUUCGGAGGCUUUCCUGGAAAAGCCAGCCUGUGGCUACCUCCUUUCUCCCCUAAGUGAUGGAGGAUUAGAAGGCAGAGGUUGACCCACAAUCUAAAGUGCCUGGUCGCCUUUUCCCAGAUUUCCCGGAGCAUUCCUUCACCCCGUGGCAUCGGCUGUCUGCAUAUGGGUGCAAGGCCCUGUUCCGGGCGGAGAAUAAACAGGAGUUCUGACUGACAGGAGCUCCGCAGCCAGCAGGGUGGUCACUAGUUCUCUGCAGUCUCGGAGGACAGCCCUGAAGAAGGGCAGGAGAACCAGCACUUCCUCCGAAAACUCAAAAGGACAUCAGUCUUCACCAAGUUGCCGAUACAAAACGUGCUCCUGAAAUGUGUAGUAAUGAACACCAGGAAACCUGGGUAGGAGUGUGCAUGGCAUUCUUCAUCACCGCUUGGACUGCAUGGCACUGAAUACCCACGGAGAGCAGGAUGGAGAAACAGUGUGCUCAUAUUCACAGGAUGGAAUCUAGCCAUUCACAAAAAUUCCAAAACAGGCAAAAUUAAACUGCAUUCUUUAGGGAAGCAUCAUUAAGUAGUAAAUAAUUGACAGAAGGGCAAGAAGGUGCUUACUCUAAGUGUCAGAAUGGUGGAUACAGCUGGGGGUGAGAGGGCUGUGACCACAGCAGGGCCCCUGGGGGAUUUGGGGGUGCCAGGCCUGUUCCUUCCUGCAAUGGUGCCCCCAUUCUCUGCAGGUCUCUACCCUCCACACCUGUGUUCAGGAAUUCAGCCCGCUUCCUGCAGCCCCAUCCCUACCCUCCUCCCAACCUGCUUUUCUUCUGGUGUCCCUCACUCAGCAUGGCUAACAGAUCCACCACCCAACGGAGCUGAGAACUGCAGUCCCCUCUGCCUGUUACCUCUCCUGCCAUUAGUGAACCUGCUUAACUCAUCUGACUGUGCGUCUCGGUGCUUGCUGUGACAUGUCUCCAGCCCUUGCUGCUCUGUCCCCCAGACCCACGUCCCACACCCGGAUGGUGACUCAGCCGACUCUGGGUCUUCUGGACCCAGUGCUUCUCCCUGAUACAAUUCCUUCCUCUGUGUUUUAGGAUCCUGAUGCUUUGAUAAGACCGUGGGCUCUAAUCACAGCCAGGGACAUUUGCAGCAGCCUGGCCUGCAGCUCUGCACACUGGGUGCACUCAGUCUAAAGCACCAGCUCCCCAUGAGAGAGAAAGAAGGGGUGAGGGGAAGUACAGAGAAAGCUCCUGAGGCCACAGGGCUGACAAAGCCCUCGGCUUUGGGGGCACUUUGUUUCUUCAAGACUAAAAUGCAGGCAAUGGAAUAAAUCAUUUGUUCCUAAAACAUGUUCUGCACAUGAUUAAAGCAGCUUUGGGAAGUCAA